rnacentral:lncRNA from 1 species
CUGAGCUUACUGCCUGCAUGAGCACACAUGGACAAGGAUGGCUUCGAGGUGAUACAGCCCCAGUCACCAUCUGACUGCAACUGCCUGAGGAACCCCAAACCACAACCAACUGAGCUGAGUCAACUCCUAGAAUCAUCAGCAAGACAGAUUUUUUUUUUUCAAUUUUAUGGCACUAUUUUGGGGUGGAUUGAUCUAGAAUCCUAUCCCCAAUCUUGGCAGCCCAGGGUCCAUCUCUCUGUUUUUUUGGUUCAUGCUGGGGUCUGCAGAUCUCCAGCUGGGGUAAAGCAUAGCCACAAGUGACCCACUCAGCCCAGACAGAGAGAAAGUAGAGAAAGGGCUGCAUGCAGAGACCUCAGCUUCUGGAGAGGCCUCUGAUCCGCUGUGGGCUCCUGGUACUCCUGUUCCCCACCGAGCCCAUGCUGUCAGCUCUGAGCUGGGCUCCAUAUUUGAUCUUGUUCCAGGGGAAAAAUUCAUCCUUCGAUUUUAGAGAACACGAACUCAUGUUUUGGAUAUCUAGUAGGUUUGGGAGUUACAUCUCUUUCCCUUAUAUCAUUUUGGAGGUCUUCCACCGAGAGUACUGGUCAGAGACUCAAAGCUAUAUGGCUACCAAGAUGACAAUGCCUGGCGCCUAUCAAGGGCCCUUAGAUAGACCCUCUGGAGAGUAACUCUGACUGCUGAUCACAACUACAACCCUCUUCAGCUGGAAGUAGCCAGAAUGGUCUUUGCCCUUUACCCCCUCACAGCAGUUAGGGGUAUUUCUUCAGAGGGGGAAAUAUUGCAGAUAGGUAAGUUAAUUAGAUAUCUUGUGUGCAGUUAGACAGGACCAGCCCCCCAGGAGCCAAUACAGCAAGGAACCCACAUGGAGAACAAUUGAGGCACAUUCACUGGUUAGCAUUAUAAAAAGAAGAGGCACUACUUCCCCUAGAGAUAGACAGCAGUGAUUGAUAUUCUAAAUGGGAAAUUCCUUGUAUGGAUUUGUCAUCCCAUUUGAUCCCCAUUUAAUCAAUAUUACCUGGGUGACUGUACUUGUAAUCUUAUUGGUUGGUCAUGGUUUUGUCCCACCUCAUGCCCACCUGUAAACUUUCAUUGGGUGUUAUAGCUUUGUCCCACUUUGUACCCGGCUCACAACAUGGCUGUGCUGUAUAAAAUAUCUUUGAAAAGUGGGGUGAGUGGGCAACCCACUUUCUGGUCCCCCUUCUGUCUCUCUCAGGUAGAAGCUUUCUUUCUCCCAAUAAAGUUUUCCUACGCU